GACAGAGGGUGCAAACGUUGUUCGGAAUCACUGGGCGUAAAGCGCGUGUAGGCGGCUACGUAAGUCGGACGUGAAAUCCCACGGCUCAACCGUGGAAGAGCGCUCGAAACUGUGUAGCUUGAGUCCUGGAGAGGAAGGCGGAAUACUUGGUGUAGAGGUGAAAUUCGUAGAUAUCAGGUAGAACACCAGUGGCGAAGGCGGCCUUCUGGACAGUGACUGACGCUGAGACGCGAAAGCGUGGGGAGCAAACAGG
rnacentral:rRNA from 1 species